AGUGAACGCUGGCGGCAUGCCUUACACAUGCAAGCCGAACGGCAGCACGGGAGCAAUCCUGGUGGCGAGUGGCGAACGGGUGAGUAAUAUAUCGGAACGUGCCCAGUCGUGGGGGAUAACGCAGCGAAAGCUGUGCUAAUACCGCAUACGAUCUAAGGAUGAAAGCGGGGGAUCGCAAGACCUCGCGCGAUUGGAGCGGCCGAUAUCAGAUUAGCUAGUUGGUGGGGUAAAGGCCCACCAAGGCGACGAUCUGUAGCUGGUCUGAGAGGACGACCAGCCACACUGGAACUGAGACACGGUCCAGACUCCUACGGGAGGCAGCAGUGGGGAAUUUUGGACAAUGGGCGCAAGCCUGAUCCAGCAAUGCCGCGUGCAGGAUGAAGGCCUUCGGGUUGUAAACUGCUUUUGUACGGAACGAAACGGCCCUUUCUAAUACAGGGGGCUAAUGACGGUACCGUAAGAAUAAGCACCGGCUAACUACGUGCCAGCAGCCGCGGUAA
rnacentral:rRNA from 1 species